rnacentral:rRNA from 1 species
CCUACGGGUGGCUGCAGUCGAGAAUCAUGCACAAUGGGGGAUACCCUGCAGGUGCGACGCCGCGUGGGGGAAUGAAGGUCUUCGGAUUGUAAACCUCUGUAAUGUGGGAGUAAAUUAAUAAGAUAGUACCUCAAGAGGAAGAGACGGCUAACCCUGGGCUAGAAGCCGCGGUAAGACGGAGGUCUCAAGCGUUGUUCGGAAUCACUGGGCGUAAAGUGUGCGUAGGAGGAUUCUUAAGUAGUGUGUGAAAGGUGCGGGCUCAACACGCUGACGGCACUUGAUACUGGGAGACUAGAGUAAUGUUGGGGGAGCCGGAAUUCGCGGUGUAGCAGUGAAAUGCGUAGAUAUCGAGAGGAACACUCAUGGCGAAGGCGGGUUCCUAGACAUUAACUGACGCUGAGGCACGAAGGCCUGGAGAGCGAAAAGGAUUAGAUACCCUGGUAGUC